UUAUCAGGCCCUCCUAUCUAUGUGACGAAAAAGCGUUAAAUGAGAUCAUAAUGAUGGCGUAUUGGUAGCAUAGCCUCUGUAUUGCUAUCUAAUGCAGUUCAUAUACGAACAAAAAGAGGUACUAUCGGAUUUGACAGCGGCUGUUAGCGGAAUACGCGUACAGCCGCUAUGCGAAACUCGGUAAAAUGCAGCGGAAUAACUUCGACUGUAUCCGUGAAAAACCGAUCGUAGUUGAAUGACAACACCAUUUCCGGAAAAACAUUGUACGACAAAAUGGCGGACGAAACCAAACAAGUGACAAGGUUCAAGAAAUUCCUUCUGCCACUGGCUGAUUUGUCCACUUCCCUCCAGUGGGUUUACAUGUCAACACGUCCAAACUUUGUGGGGAGAGCAUUGUAAGACAAGAUCCAACCAGGACCACUUGUUUGAUGCCCCCAGUAGGCUCAUCGUGCGAGGAAGCCGGUG